UCCUAAGUAGUUAUCCUAAUUACUUAUGAAUUACCAUGCAUAUUUUGAAGGUUAGGCUUCCUAAAGUGUGUUCUACAUGGACCUCCAAUCUAGAAAGUAUAUCAAACAUGCAACCCGUCUGGACGUUUGGAUCAAAUCUAAACAUGAAAGACUCAUUAAGCUUUAUGAAAACCUUUUAAAAAACCAUGCAAUCCUUAAGGCAUGAUAUUCGCCCUAAGUGAACUUACAAUUAUUAACCACAAGAAGCCAUAGUUAAUUCCAGGGAACCUUUUGACCAAAAUUGCAUCAAACUACUUUUCUAAACAUCCUAGUGGUAGUAAGCCUUAAGACAAUAGAUACUUUAAACGCGAUGAUUAAUAAUUCAAAAUAUACAUGCAUAAUAUCAUAAGUAAAUUGAAAAGAAACUACAUAUUCUUGCUUAAGCCUCAUGGCCUUGUUGAGCAAAAGAAAGUUAGUUACGCAUAUUUAUAAUUAAAAACCAAAAAAAUAUCAUUAAGAAGUAAACGAAGGAAAACACCUUGUAUCAAAGUAACAAUCAUCAAAACCCUAAGUCGAAUUCUGCAAAGUAAUGCAUAGAGAAUCACAAUGGCCGCCUAGGCCUCAUUUAUACUAGAUAAAUCCUUAUUAAAAAAGGUCUUCUAAAAACUAGGAAACAAAAUAACUUAAGAUAAACUAGGAGAUACACUCCUACAUUAGUGUGGAGAAUCUGCCCAGUUAACAGAAAUGCCACUUUCAUAGCUUAAAACACCUCCAAAGCAGGCCCAAGAAGUCUAUUUUUAAAGUUUGAUUUGUCCAUAACAUAUUUGCAAAAUGGCCCAUUGCCAUAAAACAUCAUAAUGGACGCCAAAAAGCCCAAAUAAACCCAAAACGUCACAUUGACAGCUUCAAAUGCUAGUCCUUUAUUUCUCCACCACAAUUAACCGCUUGCCAUAAAAAUUUGAAACUCUGAUACGAACAAGUUGAGAGACUCACAACCAUUGUCAAUUGGAAUCACUCCCAAAUUUAUCCAUUUGAUCAUUUUUUGCUCAAAAGGAAGUCACAAGUCUUACAUUAGAAAUAUAAACCGAAGUAUCAAAGUCUCACCAAAAUAAUUAUCAAAACAUAUUAAGAAUUGGGUAAAAUAUUUAAUACAAAAUUGACUCAUCAAAAUACUAUCAAACUUAGCUUUUUACUUGCCCUCAAGUGAAACAAAACUAA
rnacentral:lncRNA from 1 species